GACAGAAUUUCAUGAGAAGCCAGUAUCAUAUUCUAGUCUUGCAACCGGAAACUAUGCGUAAAGUGCGUAAACUUAAGAACAACAUUCUACAUGUAUAUAUGCAAUAUAUGUUGCCACAAUCCACUUAAGGAGCUAAGAUCAACUAUAAAUUGGAACUACAUGUAUAUGCUUUAGUGCUGUCAAAAUCCUUUAAAAAAUCAAAUCAAAAGGACCUACUUCACCUAUAUAUAUAGCUACCUGUCCCAAUGAUGAAUACAGAUCAUAUAUAUGAGUCUACUCUUAUAAAUAAAACAGUGAAGGAGAAUAAAAAUAAAGAAAAUAUAGAGCUGAUCAGCUAAUGAUUGUACAUGUUCAU
rnacentral:lncRNA from 1 species